GUUUGAUCCUGGCUCAGAUUGAACGCUGGCGGAAUGCUUUACACAUGCAAGUCGAGCGGCAGCGCGGGGGCAACCCUGGCGGCGAGCGGCGAACGGGUGAGUAACACAUCGGAACGUACCCUGUCGUGGGGGAUAACGAAUCGAAAGAUUCGCUAAUACCGCAUACGACCUGAGGGUGAAAGCGGGGGAUCGCAAGACCUCGCGCGAUAGGAGCGGCCGAUGUCGGAUUAGCUAGCUGGUGGGGUAAAGGCCUACCAAGGCGACGAUCCGUAGCUGGUCUGAGAGGACGACCAGCCACACUGGGACUGAGACACGGCCCAGACUCCUACGGGAGGCAGCAGUGGGGAAUUUUGGACAAUGGGGGCAACCCUGAUCCAGCCAUUCCGCGUGAGUGAAGAAGGCCUUCGGGU
rnacentral:rRNA from 1 species